AUUUUUUACCUGAGCUCAUAUGGAGUGUUAUGGCCGCGGCAGGUGUUAAUUUUAUUCAUUUGUGCGUCGAAAUAAGCGCGUAAGGACAUGUUAAGACAAAGUGCGACACGCAGGAAUAUUUCCUUAAGGCCUCCUUAUUGACAUCUACAACUUCUGUUUGCGGAAAAUCGGCCCGAAAUUUUUGGACCCAGAUUUUUUUAUAGAUUCCUGCCCACCAGUGGAGUUGAUUGCACAAAGAAAAAUAGGGGGUCGCGUGGAUUAAUCUUGAAAUAUGAUUUUUUGAAAUUUAGCAUGGCGUUUUAUGGAGAUUUUUGUUUUUGGCGAUUAAAAAAAAUCUGCCCGAAAUUUUUUGCUCAAAAUUGCACAAAAUGAUAAUUGAAUGACCCUUAACAGAUAAGCAGCAAAAAAAUUGGGGGUUCAUGGGGCAAAAAUUUUACAUUGGGCAUAUGGGAGAUCAAAAAAACCUCUUUGGUACUCUUAGCAUUGCAAUAAGGAGUCCUUAAGAAGCUGAGCUGCUUAGAAUCCGUGUGGAAUCAAACAGGAGCAAAAGAUGAAGAAAAAAAGUCGCCGGCAUCCCGCCCCUCGCGACGCGAGAGCGCAGCCCCUAUCAUCAGGCACAUCAACUCAGCGGCGGGACAGCCAAUAUUUCUUUCCUCUCACCAUCUCUGCCAAAUCUGCAGCCGCGGACUGAUUUUCGGAAAUUAAUUUCAGUGUGAUGAGGAGAGACUAUUUCUCAACCGAGAAAAUGCUGAAAAAAAUUCAUCGGAAUUUGCGUUAUGCCAUCUUGCAGUUAAUAAAGAUUUUGCAAAUCCUGUUCUGCAAGUGAACAAUGCCGACAAAUUAGGAAAGUUUGAUGAACUAUUGGACCAUACGUACGCGUGGAGCAGGAACGAAGGAAGAAAAUUUUAAGUUUGAUUUAAAAAUAAUUUCAAAGAUUGUGGGUAUUAUAUUACUAUUAAAAAAUAAAUUUUAAAA